CCCGUUCAGCUUAUAAUGUCUACUUCUGGUCUCUGGCUACAAUCAGGUUUUGGGUUAAAAGGCUACUUAGGCCUUGCCUACCUGCAACAGACUCCACCCUACCCCCAUCUCAGCUGCUGUAAAAGGAAACAACAGCUACCCUAUUGGGACUAACUUUAACUCUAAUCCUCACUUCCUGGAAAGCUUCUCAGGUAACCAGUCCCCUGGAAAGGACAAGCCCAGCGCUGUGACCUUGCAGCCGAAAGGUUUUUCUCCCACACUCAGAGAAACCUGAGUGCACGAAGGUGCUGUGAGCUCCUCAUUCAAUACAUACACGGGCCCUUCCCCACAUUCUGAACGGCAACCAUGGCAACAAGUGUUCAUCUGAGCAGCUGCUCCAGGCAAGUUCUGCUUGAGUACUGACAGUGACAAACACUUCAGAAGGGAGUUUUCUGCACAGAAGUCUAGAAGCCCAGGAGAUCUUGAUGGCCACACACAUGGGCCAACUAGCAGGACCUUUGUGUUUGCCAACCUGCCUGCUCUAACCAUAAGACGACCAUCUAUCACAUCUAUGAAUUCAUGUCUCCUUGGGAAGCCACCAAAAAUGAUGCAUAUUGAUUUGCUCGUAGAUGAAGAUGUGGACACGAGGUGCCAGAGCCAGCUUAUUUCUGCAUUUGCUGCACCGGCUGCUAUUAAAAUCAGUGCUCAUCUUAAUGUCAUUUAAAGAGCAUAGCACAUGGUAGUUUUAUUUCUGAUUCAAAUGUGCAGCAGCCAAGAGAUAGGUU